rnacentral:ncRNA from 14 species
UAAAUUCUUCGGGGCAGGGUGUGAUUCCCAACCGACGGUAACAACAUUUUGUUGAAGUCCGUGACCCGCGCAAGCGGUUGACCCAGUGAAACUCUGGGACCGACAGUAUAGUCUGGAUGGGAGAAGAAAUAG